UACGGGGGGGGCAAGCGUUGUUCGGAAUUAUUGGGUUUAAAGGGUGCGUAGGCGGCCUAUUAAGUCAGGGGUGAAAGACGGUAGCUUAACUAUCGCAGUGCCUUUGAUACUGAUGGGCUUGAAUACACUAGAGGUAGGCGGAAUGUGACAAGUAGCGGUGAAAUGCAUAGAUAUGUCACAGAACACCAAUUGCGAAGGCAGCUUACUAUGGUGCAAUUGACGCUGAGGCACGAAAGCGUGGGGAUCAAACAGG
rnacentral:rRNA from 1 species